rnacentral:rRNA from 1 species
AGAGCUUGCUCUCGGGUGACGAGUGGCGGACGGGUGAGUAAUGUCUGGGAAACUGCCUGAUGGAGGGGGAUAACUACUGGAAACGGUAGCUAAUACCGCAUAACGUCGCAAGACCAAAGAGGGGGACCUUCGGGCCUCUUGCCAUCAGAUGUGCCCAGAUGGGAUUAGCUAGUAGGUGGGGUAACGGCUCACCUAGGCGACGAUCCCUAGCUGGUCUGAGAGGAUGACCAGCCACACUGGAACUGAGACACGGUCCAGACUCCUACGGGAGGCAGCAGUGGGGAAUAUUGCACAAUGGGCGCAAGCCUGAUGCAGCCAUGCCGCGUGUAUGAAGAAGGCCUUCGGGUUGUAAAGUACUUUCAGCGGGGAGGAAGGUGUUGCGGUUAAUAACCGCAGCAAUUGACGUUACCCGCAGAAGAAGCACCGGCUAACUCCGUGCCAGCAGCCGCGGUAAUACGGAGGGUGCAAGCGUUAAUCGGAAUUACUGGGCGUAAAGCGCACGCAGGCGGUCUGUCAAGUCGGAUGUGAAAUCCCCGGGCUCAACCUGGGAACUGCAUUCGAAACUGGCAGGCUAGAGUCUUGUAGAGGGGGGUAGAAUUCCAGGUGUAGCGGUGAAAUGCGUAGAGAUCUGGAGGAAUACCGGUGGCGAAGGCGGCCCCCUGGACAAAGACUGACGCUCAGGUGCGAAAGCGUGGGGAGCAAACAGGAUUAGAUACCCUGGUAGUCCACGCCGUAAACGAUGUCGACUUGGAGGUUGUGCCCUUGAGGCGUGGCUUCCGGAGCUAACGCGUUAAGUCGACCGCCUGGGGAGUACGGCCGCAAGGUUAAAACUCAAAUGAAUUGACGGGGGCCCGCACAAGCGGUGGAGCAUGUGGUUUAAUUCGAUGCAACGCGAAGAACCUUACCUACUCUUGACAUCCAGAGAACUUUCCAGAGAUGGAUUGGUGCCUUCGGGAACUCUGAGACAGGUGCUGCAUGGCUGUCGUCAGCUCGUGUUGUGAAAUGUUGGGUUAAGUCCCGCAACGAGCGCAACCCUUAUCCUUUGUUGCCAGCGGUCCGGCCGGGAACUCAAAGGAGACUGCCAGUGAUAAACUGGAGGAAGGUGGGGAUGACGUCAAGUCAUCAUGGCCCUUACGAGUAGGGCUACACACGUGCUACAAUGGCGCAUACAAAGAGAAGCGAACUCGCGAGAGCAAGCGGACCUCAUAAAGUGCGUCGUAGUCCGGAUUGGAGUCUGCAACUCGACUCCAUGAAGUCGGAAUCGCUAGUAAUCGUAGAUCAGAAUGCUACGGUGAAUACGUUCCCGGGCCUUGUACACACCGCCCGUCACACCAUGGGAGUGGGUUGCAAAAGAAGUAGGUAGCUUAACCUUCGGGAGGG